rnacentral:rRNA from 1 species
UACGAAGGGGGCUAGAGUUGCUCGGAAUCACUGGGCGUAAAGGGUGCGUAGGCGGGUCUUUAAGUCAGGGGUGAAAUCCUGGAGCUCAACUCCAGAACUGCCUUUGAUACUGAAGAUCUUGAGUUCGGGAGAGGUGAGUGGAACUGCGAGUGUAGAGGUGAAAUUCGUAGAUAUUCGCAAGAACACCAGUGGCGAAGGCGGCUCACUGGCCCGAUACUGACGCUGAGGCACGAAAGCGUGGGGAGCAAACAGG